rnacentral:tRNA from 1 species
UAUGAGGUGGACGAUUAAUAAGUCGGUAGAUUGUAAGUCUAUGAAUGGGUAAGUACUCUCUCGUAA